GACGAACGCUGGCGGCGUGCUUAACACAUGCAAGUCGAACGGAAAGGCCCUGCUUGCAGGGUGCUCGAGUGGCGAACGGGUGAGUAACACGUGGGUGAUCUGCCCCUUACUUUGGGAUAAGCCUGGGAAACUGGGUCUAAUACUGGAUAGGACCAUGCUGUAGGUGGUGAGGUGGAAAGAUUAGUUUCGGUAAGGGAUGAGCUCGCGGCCUAUCAGCUUGUUGGUGGGGUAAUGGCCUACCAAGGCGUCGACGGGUAGCCGGCCUGAGAGGGUGGACGGCCACAUUGGGACUGAGAUACGGCCCAGACUCCUACGGGAGGCAGCAGUGGGGAAUAUUGCACAAUGGGCGCAAGCCUGAUGCAGCGACGCCGCGUGGGGGAUGACGGCCUUCGGGUUGUAAACUCCUUUCAGCCAUGACGAAGCCCUUGUGGUGACGGUAGUGGUAGAAGAAGCACCGGCUAACUACGUG
rnacentral:rRNA from 1 species